rnacentral:rRNA from 1 species
GUUGAUCCUGCCGGACCCGACUGCUAUCAGAGUGGGACUAAGCCAUGCGAGUCAACAUAGCAAUAUGUGGCAUACGGCUCAGUAACACGUAGUCAACAUGCCCAGGGGACGUGGAUAACCUCGGGAAACUGAGGAUAAACCGCGAUAGGUCAUCACUUCUGGAAUGGGUAAUGACUUAAAUCUAUAUGGCCCCUGGAUUGGACUGCGGCCGAUCAGGCUGUUGGUGAGGUAAUGGCCCACCAAACCUGUAACCGGUACGGGCUCUGAGAGGAGGAGCCCGGAGAUGGGCACUGAGACAAGGGCCCAGGCCCUAUGGGGCGCAGCAGGCGCGAAACCUCUGCAAUAGGCGAAAGCUUGACAGGGUUACUCUGAGUGAUUUCCGUUAAGGAGAUCUUUUGGCACCUCUAAAAAUGGUGCAGAAUAAGGGGUGGGCAAGUCUGGUGUCAGCCGCCGCGGUAAUACCAGCACCCCGAGUGGUCGGGACGUUUAUUGGGCCUAAAGCAUCCGUAGCCGGUUCUACAAGUCUUCCGUUAAAUCCACCUGCUUAACAGAUGGGCUGCGGAAGAUACUAUAGAGCUAGGAGGCGGGAGAGGCAAGCGGUACUCGAUGGGUAGGGGUAAAAUCCGUUGAUCCAUUGAAGACCACCAGUGGCGAAGGCGGCUUGCCAGAACGCGCUCGACGGUGAGGGAUGAAAGCUGGGGGAGCAAACCGGAUUAGAUACCCGGGUAGUCCCAGCUGUAAACGAUGCAGACUCGGUGAUGAGUUGGCUUAUUGCUAACUCAGUGCCGCAGGGAAGCCGUUAAGUUUGCCGCCUGGGGAGUACGGUCGCAAGACUGAAACUUAAAGGAAUUGGCGGGGGAGCACCACAAGGGGUGAAGCCUGCGGUUCAAUUGGAGUCAACGCCGGAAAUCUUACCGGGGGCGACAGCAGAGUGAAGGUCAAGCUGAAGACUUUACCAGACAAGCUGAGAGGAGGUGCAUGGCCGUCGCCAGCUCGUGCCGUGAGGUGUCCUGUUAAGUCAGGUAACGAGCGAGAUCCCUGCCUCUAGUUGCUACCAUUAUUCUCAGGAGUAGUGGAGCUAAUUAGAGGGACCGCCGUCGCUGAGACGGAGGAAGGUGGGGGCUACGGCAGGUCAGUAUGCCCCGAAACCCUCGGGCCACACGCGGGCUGCAAUGGUAAGGACAAUGAGUUUCGAUUCCGAAAGGAGGAGGCAAUCUCUAAACCUUACCACAGUUAUGAUUGAGGGCUGAAACUCGCCCUCAUGAAUAUGGAAUCCCUAGUAACCGCGUGUCACUAUCGCGCGGUGAAUACGUCCCUGCUCCU